rnacentral:rRNA from 1 species
UACGGAGAGGCCAAACGUUAUUCGGAUUUACUGGGCUUAAAGGAGUCGUAGGCGGCUUGGAAGUGGGUGUGAAAGCCCUCGGCUUAACCGAGGAAUUGCGCUCCAAACUACCGAGCUUGAGUAGCUGAGAGGUGAGCAGAACGUGAUGGUGGAGGACGGUGAAAUGCGUUGAUAGUCAAUCAGGAAUACCGGAGGCGAAGGCGGCUCCACUGGGACCUAA